UCCAUCUCAAAAAAAAAAAAAGAAAAAAGAAAAAGAAAAAGAAAUGAUUACCUCUUUACAGAUCCUUCUCAAGGUCUCCUGCCUGGUUAUCCCUUGAUGAUUGCACUGCUCCUGGUAGAUCCUCCACCUCGUUCAGGGUUCCCUUCUCCCCUCCCUUCCUUUUCUUUCCAGCCUCCCUAACUUUACUCCAACUUCUGCUUUAUCCAAAAGCUCAAUCUUCUUUAUUUUCUCUCACAAAAGACCUUAAUGGCCCAGUAAGAGAUCUGACUAUGUUUAAACAGGAGCCUAAAUCUUCAGCAUCAAAAAAACUGGCCUUAUUUCACCAAUGUAUGGAGGUCUUAGUCCUCAGAAACAUAAUCACUCAAUCCAUUUGAUGUCUGGGAUGAACAGGGGAUGUUUGCAUUCUACCCCGAGGAAGGUCACUUUAUAUCUUAGAAUGUGCCAAGAGGUAGUGAGUUGAGAUUUUAUCCCCAGAACAGCUUAAUUCAUAUCCUGAAUCAUCUGCAAUCAGCUCACCUUUAUAGGUGAGUGGACAGGUGGUAAGAGGGUGAGUAGGGUAGGAGGUGGGAAGGUUCAUGAGAAAGGAGGGUGCAUGGGUGGAAGGUGAGAGGGUAUGGGGGUAGGAGGUGGGACUUUGGGUAGUACUGUGGAAGGCUGGGCCUGCCUAGGGCCAGGGAGAUAUCUGUAGCACUCCAAAUCUAUUAGAAUUCUCUGGUCCAUUAUAUCUUAUAAUCCAACUGUUUAAAUCCCUUCUUUCUUUUUCUCCCUUAAGCUUGGAGUCUUUGUUUAGCAUGCUGAUAAGACUUCUAUGAUUCUGGAGAAAAGGAAGCCAUUUUAAGUAGAAGUAAAUGGAACAAAGUUUUUGUAAAUUCUUUCUAUGAGAAUUGUGCGAGGUACUGAAAUUCUUGCCUCAUUAUAGAAGACGUUGUAUGCAGAGAAGAUCGCCAGUGACAGAAAUGAGACUCAGAGAGAAAAAAAAAAAAAAAAACCCAGCAGUGUUUCUGAAUGUUGAAUUAAAUUGAAAUUCUGAAUAAACAGAAAGUAAAAUUCGGAAAACUCUGAGGGGACUUUGAAGUAAACUGUGAAGCAAGUGGCACAUCAACAUCCUGGAUGCUUUGUGUAAUUUUCUCUGUCACCAUUAACGAAAAGAAUGAAGUACUGGCAACCUGCCAGAGAAAUGUUCAACGACGGUUUGAGUGCUUCACUUUGAGUGCAUUUGAAUGAAGUAUUGGAUGCCUCCAGAGGUAUUUGGAAACUUUCCUGUCCCCUUUCACGGAGUUAUAAUGAUGGAAGAGGUUCAGGAGAAAGGAAUCCGCUCCUUGCAAGUUAAAAAGAGUUAAGAAGGUUUUUUGUUGUUGUCAUUGUUUGCUUUUAAAUACUUUAAUUUUAAAACAAUAUACUGGGAAGAACAUUGCAAAUGGAAUUCAGGAGAUCAAAGAAACCUGGGAUAAAUAUCGCAAAUUCUCUCAGGCUCAAUUUCCUACUCUAUAAAGUCUGGUAUUUGGUAGCAUUAGAUGACCUCUAAGACUUCCUCCAUUUUACUUACAUUGUAAUUUCUGCUCUACUUAAUGAACUGGAAGGUACCUUAGGAUCCGUCAAAACCCUGAAUCAAUAUAAGAACAUUCUCUGGGACAAUUCACAAAGUGUGUUACAUUUUAUGAAUAAAUGUUUUUAAUGCCUUAGUAUAAAUUGGUACUUUUUUUAAUAUAAAGGAAUUGUGGACCAAAAGAGUGGUUUUCUUUGGCAUGUUACUAAAAUUGAGUUCCAUCAGUUUUGUGUGCGAGUACAUUAUUUAUCCACCGAAAAACUCCAAACUGGGGCUACAAGCAGAGUUUCUCAGAAGUUCCUUGUAGAGAAGUGUAAGGGCUAAGCCAUUGCUACACCUUUGCCAGGUGAUGUUCAAGGAUAAACCAGGGAUGUUCAAGGAUAAAUGCUAUUAGGGUUGGGGGGUUAUGCUAGUGGCAACAAUAGAGACACCCCUAAACUGCAGGGGCUCAAUAACUGCAAAAUUUUGUUUCUUGCUCAUGUGAAGUCACGUGCGUCAGCAGAGCUCUCUACUAUCCAGUGACUCAGGGGUCAAGGCUCUCUCCAUCUUGUCUGCCAGCACCUCAACAUGUGACUUCAAGUUCUUCUGAUCAGGAGGAAGAAGGAUAAGGGAGACACAACAACAGUUAGGAACCUAGGACCAGAAGUGCCAUAUCACUUCUGCUCUCAUUCCUAUCUGCCAGAACUCUGUCACAUGGUCCCAACCCAGCUGAAAGGACCUGGAAAAUGCAGGAAAGCACAUGUCUAUUCAGUGGGCAUGAGUUGUCUCUGGAUGAAUUGAUGUAAUCAGGGACAUAAAGCCACCAAGUGAGAGCAAUUCUCUACCUUGUGUGUUUGGAAUAAAUGACCAAAAGCCUUGGUUUUUAAUCUGUGGCUUCUUUAAACUCUUUUCAUUCUAAAAAACAUUUAGUUUUGAAAAACUGAGGGAACUUUGCUAGGAAGUGGGUCUUCUAAACUCUUCUUCAUCACAUCUGGAGAGGGGGUUGCCUUUAAAUGGCUGCAUCACACUGUUGAUUCAUCAUAAACUUUAAGCCAACAAAAAUCCUGAUUUAAUUGUUGGGAGA